ACUUGGGCCGACCAUCGAGCGCCGCGCCGAGACAACCCUAGCGUGCGGGGAGCGACGCGAGGGCCGGCGGAAGAGGCGGCGGUCGGGGAAGGCAAUGCGUGCGGCGGAAACGAGGAGGAACCCUCGUCCCGUCGCAGCAUUGGCUGCCGCGACCUAGUCCAGGAGCGAGGUCUCCCUCUCCGGUGCGAGCGGAGGUGUCGAGGGCGGAGGUCGGAGCAAGCUGCGGGCGCGCGACCGGAGGACCUAAGCCGGGAGCGGGGGCAGAGGAGCCACCGGCGGACCUCAUCUCUGGUGCCACCACGGGCAGGCUCCAGUUCAGUCUCUGGUGUUAGGCAUGGGCAAGCGAUGUCGCAGUGCAAGGCUGGAGCGGCGGACCAUUGAUUCCGCCUUCCAGGAAUUCAGAGUAGACUACGAGCAAACCAAGCAUUUUGCUACUGGCAGGGCGGUCACCUCCGAUGCAUUUUCUGUUGGCGGGUACAUCUGGAGAGUACACUUCUAUCCACAUGGGUUCAGUGAGGAAUGCAAGGAUUCCAUCUCUCCCAUAUUUGAGUUGAUGAGCAAAGCAGAUGUCAAUGUUAUCACAGAGGCCUUCAUAACUGUCAAGGACGGUCACCCAUGGUCCGUGUCAAGACAGGAGAGGUGUUGAACUGUUCCAAGGGGACAAUUUUGACUUGGGCGGCUGGGGUCAAUGGGUUUCACGGGCUACUCUGGAGAAAUAUUACCUAAUAGAUGGUCUCGUCACUUUUGUAUGUGCCAUCAUGGUUGUUCGUGAUCGUGACAGCUCUGUUCCUGUGCCAGCUUUGGACGUCGGAAAACAUUUUGUGAGUGAGCAACCCCUAUGGUCUAGGCUGGAGGGGCGGACCAUUGAUUCAGCUUUCCAUGAAUCCAGAGUAGACUACAAGCAAUCCAAGCACCUUGGCAUUGGCAAGGCCAUCUACUCUGAUGCCUUCUCCGCAGACAGUUAUAUGUGGAGGGUACAUGUGGGCAGAACCACUUUGAAUUACACCAGUUAGAGUGCAUUGAACAUCGCAACACGCCUUUACCGGCAUAAUCCUUGGUCUGUCGGGUAAAUCCCGAUGAAACCACUGAAUAUCCGAUCGUAACCACAAGUAUACAUCCCGCACGAAGACGAGUUAGAGAUACAAUAUUUCACAAUAUUUUACAUCA